rnacentral:rRNA from 1 species
UACGGAGGGUGCGAGCGUUGUCCGGAAUCACUGGGCGUAAAGGGCGCGUAGGUGGCACGGUCAGCGUGUGGUGAAAGCCUGGGGCUCAACCCCGGGUCGGCCAUGCGAACUGCCGGGCUUGAGCACUGUAGAGGCAGACGGAAUUCCGGGUGUAGCGGUGGAAUGCGUAGAGAUCCGGAAGAACACCGGUGGCGAAGGCGGUCUGCUGGGCAGUUGCUGACACUGAGGCGCGACAGCGUGGGGAGCAAACAGG